CUGGAAACGGCCCGGGUUUCCCACCCCCUGCCCAGGUUUGCUCCUUCCCUGGUUUUUCUGUCAUUAUCACGCUCACGUGUUUCCCUCGGUCACCCCCUCUGCAAUUUUCACACGUCUUUUCCCUCUCUCUUUGCUUCAUUACCUUUGGCCCGCCUGCCAGCUGCUGAUUCUCUCUGAAGAUGUCUCUAAAUGACUUUUAACUGUGAUUUGUGGAAUUCUUAUUGUGGAGUUUUGCGUCUUUUCAGGUGUAGGUUUUUUGUCUCGCGUGUUUCCACGUCUGCUUGUAGCGCUUUCCGCUUCGCCGUUCCCUGCGGCCCUUCCUUCCGUGCCCGGUGUUCAUCCUCUUGAAUGCUCUUUUCCUGCCUGUUUGGCUGGGUGUGUCUGAGUUGCAACCUGAGCGGGUUUCUUUGUCUUCUUACUUGUCUGGUAUUGUGUUCUCUCGGGACGUUGCGUUUGAGGGGUCGCACCUCAGAGCAAGCCGAGGUCUGGGCUAAGCCUGUGCUUUGGCAGGCAGGACCUUAGUUUGCCUUUUCUGGGCACCUGAGGAGAGGGUAGCAGCAGCCUGGGGUCUCCUUGACUCACGGUCAGCAGUGAGGGUUUCCUGGCCUGUUGGGUGGCUGGAGCUUGGCUGCAUUCCCCACUGAGAGAGGGAGGUGCGCACCUUCUCCUCCCUGGAGUGGCCUUCCAGGUGCCCUCUCAGAGCUGCUCAUCAGGGCUGUGCCUUUGUCAGCACCAAGCCUCAGCCCUUGUCCCUGCUGCCACUGAAGGCUCAAAACAACACUGCACAGCCUUGUGUGUCCUCUGUGUGUCGGCAGUUUCCCCCGGCUCUGCAGCAGCCCAGGCCAGGUAGCCUCUGGAGGGAGUGGUGGAGGAGCACGGGCAUCCUGGCCGCCGCUGUGUUGGGGACAGACCCUGGGGCCUGGAAAGGGAGGUGGGGCCCCGUGGGGGCUGCUGCACCACAGGC
rnacentral:lncRNA from 1 species